rnacentral:rRNA from 1 species
CAGUCGCCACGGGAAUACGGAGGGUGCAAGCGUUAAUCGGAAUUACUGGGCGUAAAGCGCACGCAGGCGGUUUGACAAGUCAGAUGUGAAAUCCCCGGGCUUAACCUGGGAACUGCAUUUGAAACUGUCAGGCUGGAGUCUUGUAGAGGGGGGUGGAAUUCCAGGUGUAGCGGUGAAAUGCGUAGAGAUCUGGAGGAAUACCGGUGGCGAAGGCGGCCCCCUGGACAAAGACUGACGCUCAGGUGCGAAAGCGUGGGGAGCAAACAGGAUUAGAUACCCCGGUAGUCCCUGUCUCUUAUAC